rnacentral:rRNA from 1 species
UACGUAGGGAGCAAGCGUUGUCCGGAAUCAUUGGGCGUAAAGCGCGCGUAGGUGGCCUCGUAAGUCCGCUGUGAAAGUCCAAGGCUCAACCUUGGGAAGCCGGUGGAUACUGUGAGGCUAGAGUACGGAAGAGGCGAGUGGAAUUCCUGGUGUAGCGGUGAAAUGCGCAGAUAUCAGGAAGAACACCAAUGGCGAAGGCAGCUCUCUGGGACGGUACUGACGCUGAGACGCGAAAGCGUGGGGAGCGAACAGG